UGGGAUUGUCUUUUUAAUUUCUUUUUCAGAUAGCUCAUUGUUAAUGUGUAGAAACACUACUAAUUUUUGUAUAUUGAUUUUGUAUCCUGCAAUUUACUGAAACUUUUUUUAGUUCAACAGCUUUUUCUUGGUGGUGUCUUUAGGGUUUUUGGUGUAUAAGAUUACGUUGCCUGCAAACAGAGACAAUUUUUUUCUGAUUUGGAUGCCUUUUAUUUCUUUCUCUUGCCUAAUUGCUCUGGCUAGGACUUUUAAUUAUCCCACAGAGUUUCUGGUGGUCAGAAAUCUGAGGGUGGUUUUGCUUGUUCACUGUUGGUGGUAGCAUGCUACUGUGUGGCCUCUGGAAUCCUAUCAUCUCCAUGACUACUAGGGACCCUAGUUCUGAAAUAGCAUCUCUUAUCAUCAACUCUGGUCUACAGAGGAGAGCCACCACUCACCUCAAUGACACUGGUGUCCUCUACCAGCAAUUUCCUUAUUGCCUUGAUGCAUAAGUCCUCCAUACUCUUUCAAGAAUCAUAUUUAGCUGAUAAGUUUCCAGUUUCACAUAGUAGACCCUGUUUAGCAUGUACACUUUGGUGGGCCUUUCAAUCCCUUCCUCCACUCUGCCUGGCAACUCUGGCACCUCCACUUGAUUUAAUAGGGGCCACUGCUCUUACAAUCUCCUGAAGUCCAUCCCAACUAGAAAAACUAUUGGCUUGAUUGAUAGUUUAUUUUCAUUUCACCCAUAUAUUUCACUAAACUUUCUUCUGGCUUAGGAUUCAGCUGGAGUGAUGUGUGAUCCUGAGCUCUGAUUGGUGUUCCAAUUUUUCCCAUAAAAUUGAGGUUAAUACAAAGUGCAUGAGAUCAUUAUAAUCAGCUCAGUAAAAAGAACUGUGGGCACAAGAAGAGGUCAGAGAGUCCACAGAAGAGGAACAGACCCGGGAACAAAUAGCUUAAACUUACAAAAGAGCUAGCAUGAAGUCCUAUUUUUCAGGAAGAGGUGUCUAUAUAAGGCCAAUGUGAGGUUCAUUUUCAGGCAAUUUAUUAAUGUUAAUUGAGAGCUUUUUCUUCGUUUCAAAUAUUAUAGCCUUAUUUUUCCUGUCUGAACUCAAUAAACAGCUAGUAAAAUUAGCCAACAUGGACAAAAAUUAACACGGAAAAGGCCUGUGGUCAUAAAACACAUUAACUAUUCAGCAUUGAGACUAUUUUUAUUUCUAUCUUCUGCCAGAAAAUUAGCAGCAAUUAAAACUAUAAUUUUUUUUCUUAUUUCCAUAUAGGCCUGAGAGGUUAAAAUAGAAAGUUAAAUAACGUGAGUGACAUACCAAAUGACCCAGCAAGUGUUUGACUGAGAUAAGUUUUAACACUUCUGCUAAAAAAUUGAAAAACUGUCACUUCCUUGUUAGAGCUGAAAAUAGUCAGCUCUUACAAAUUGUUCUUCCUGAUGCAAAUCCAUAUUAAGCUUUGUAUUAUUAACACGAAUCACUCAAAACAAUUCCAAAUGGGACUUAGGGAGAAUUGUGUAAUAAAUAAUACUAGAUUGUUGAUAAAGCAUUUAAUCCAGUUUAAAUGAGUGCUUUACCCCAAGAGAGCUGACUUGAGCUUUUUUUCCUUUCCUUCUAUAAAUUCAAGGCCUACAUACAAAUUCAAUUUAAUAAAUAUGUAUUAUGCAGCUGUUAGGUAAAAAUUCAGUGACUAGGUGCUUCCAGGACUACAAAUGUGAAGAAGAUGUAGUGAAUACUAUGUAAAUUACAAUGUAAUUGUGGUAAUGAAUAUGAAAAAUGUAUAAUUUAUUACAAUGGAAGGCAGCAUAAAAACUGACUAUUCAGUGAAGGUGUGGAUUACUUUUAAUGUGAUGAAAAAGGAAUUUAUAAAAGAAAUGAUAUUUGGGGUAGGCUUAGAAGUCUGUGCAGCAUUUCAGAAGUUGGUGACGGCCCUUUAGGGUGAUCAUUCUGGGGAAGGGUCUUUCUUUCAUGAAACAGGUAAUGGAGAACUGAAAGCUCAUGGUGUGUUCAGAGAACAGCUAGCAGAGGAGAGGAGGAAAGAAGAGAAGGAAGGAAGAAGAUCAAGCUGAAAUGGUACUACGGGGACUCUUAAUGCUCCAUUAAGCCAAAUGGUUUGGACUUCAUCUGCUGGCCAUGGUGGCUACAACUGGAGCAGCCAUUUGGGUGGUGAGGUGAGUUCAAGAUGGAAGCCAAGCACAACCUAGAAGGACCCUGACUCCCUGACACCAUGGUUUGCCAUAUGGGACCUGGACUGAUUCCCUUUGGAACUUUAUCUGAGAGAAAUAAACUUCUGUCUUGCUUAAGCCAUUUUUAUGGUGUCUUUCUGUCAUUUGUAGCUAAUCCUAAUCCUAAUUUUUACAUUAUCCUUCCAUAAGCUGUGAAGAGCCACAAAAAGUUUUAU
rnacentral:lncRNA from 10 species